CCUACGGGCGGCAGCAGUGAGGAAUAUUUGUCAAUGGGCGCGAGCCUGAACCAGCCAAGUCGCGUGAGGGAAGACGGUCCUAUGGAUUGUAAACCUCUUUUGUCGGGGAGCAAAAGACGCCACGCGUGGCGUUCCGAGAUUACCCGAAGAAAAAGCAUCGGCUAACUCCGUGCCAGCAGCCGCGGUAAUACGGAGGAUGCGGGCGUUAUCCGGAUUUAUGGGGUUUAAAGGGUGGGCAGGCGGAAGUUCAAGUCAGCGGUAAAAGUGCGGGGCGCAACCGCUUCGAGCCGUUGAUACUGGUUUGCUUGAGUGAGUGAGAAGUAUGAGGAAUGCGUGGUGUAGCGGUGAAAUGCAUAGAUAUCACGCAGAACGCCGAUUGCGAAGGCAGCAUACCGGCGCUCAACUGACGCUGAUGCACGAAAGUGUGGGUAUCGAACAGGAUUAGAUACCCCAGUAGUC
rnacentral:rRNA from 1 species